GUAAGGUGAAACCGCGGAAGAGCUCAUUAUAUCAKUCCUGGUUUACUUGACGCAUGCCUCGUGCCUCGAGGAUAACUGUGGUAAUUCUAGAGCUAACACUUGCGAAAGCUCCCGCCGGCAACGGAGGGAGCGCUCUUGUUAGUUCAAAAUCUGACGGACGGCGYGCUUCGGYGCGUCCGCUCCGUGUCCACCCGUUGAAACGAAAUAAUGUCGCGGAUCGCACGGUCUCGCACCGGCGACCGGUCAUUCAAAUGUCUGCCUUAUCAACUGUCGAUGGUAGGUCACAAGCUUACCAUGGUUUUAACGGGUGACGGGGAAUCAGGGUUUGAUUCCGGAGAGGGAGCCUGAGAAACGGCUACCACAUCCAAGGAAGGCAGCAGGCACGCAAAUUACCCACUCUUGGUACGAGGAGGUAGUGACGAUAAAUAACGAUACGGGACUCAUCCGAGGCCCCGUAAUCGGAAUGCGAACAUCGCAAAACAUUUAACAAGGAUCAAUUGGAGGGCAAGUCUGGUGCCAGCAGCCGCGGUAAUUCCAGCUCCAAUAGCGUAUAUUAAAGUUGCUGCGUUUAAAAAGCUCGUAGUCGGACUUGUGUCCCGCGCCGCCGGUGCAUCGUUCGCGGUGUCGGCUGGUGCGUUGCGGGACGUCCGACCGGAUGGGCCGUGCGGAGCGCGUUCGCGUGUCUUCGCCGGUCCGACUGCUCUAGGCUCGCUUGCUCUUUGCCGGGUGACGAGCCUGGCCGGUCUGGCUACUUUGCAGAAAUUAGAGUGCUCAAAGCAGGCCGCCGCGCCUGAAUAAUAUUGUAUGGAAUAGCGAAAGAGGACCUCGUUACUAUUUUAACGAUUUCUAGCCAUCGAGGUAAUGAUGGUCGGAAACGGACGAGGGCAUCUGUAUUGUGACGUUAGAGGUGAAAUUCUUGGAUCGUCGCAAGACAAACAGAGGCGAAAGCAUUUGUCAAGAACGUUUUCGUCGAUCAAGAACGAAAGUUAGAGGUUCGAAGGCGAUCAGAUACCGCCCUAGUUCUGACCAUAAACGAUGCCAGCCAGCGAUCCGCCGCGGUUCCUCCGAUGACCCGGCGGGCAGCUCUCCGGGAAACCAAAGCUUUUGGGUUCCGGGGGAAGUAUGGUUGCAAAGCUGAAACUUAAAGGAAUUGACGGAAGGGCACCACCAGGAGUGGAGCCUGCGGCUUAAUUUGACUCAACACGGGAAACCUCACCAGGCCCGGACACUAUGAGGAUUGACAGAUCGAUAGCUCUUUCUUGAUUUAGUGGGUGGUGGUGCAUGGCCGUUCUUAGUUCGUGGAGUGAUUUGUCUGGUUAAUUCCGAUAACGAGCGAGACUCUACCUUACUAACUAGACGUGCUCGGCAUACACGAGGUCCGCGCCGCGCGGCCGCGUGCUCGUCCACGCCCGUCGCCGCCCUCGCAAAACGGGGUGUCGGUGUGCGGUGCGCGGGCGGGUCCGGCCGUCGCGCGCGUGCGAUUCUUGCUGCCGGCGUACAAUAAACUCUUCUUAGAGGGACAAGUUGCUUACAGUAGCACGAAAGAGAGCAAUAACAGGUCAGUGAUGCCCUUAGAUGUCCUGGGCCGCACGCGCGCUACACUGAAGAAGACAGCGUGUUUUCCCUGGCCGACAGGUCCGGGUAAUCCGCUGAGCCUUCUUCGUGCUAGGGAUUGGGGCUUGCAAUUGCACCCCAUGAACGAGGAAUUCCCAGUAAGCGCCGGUCAUAAGCCGGCGUUGAUUACGUCCCUGCCCUUUGUGCACACCGCCCGUCGCUACUACCGAUUGAAUGAAUUAGUGAGGUCUUCGGACUGGUGCCCGGCCGGCGUUCGUCCGGACGGCCGCACCGGGAAGACGAUCGAACUUGUUCAUUUAGAGGAAGUAAAAGUCGUAACAAGGUUUCCGU
rnacentral:rRNA from 1 species